UACGUAGGGUGCGAGCGUUAAUCGGAAUUACUGGGCGUAAAGCGUGCGCAGGCGGUUUGUUAAGACAGAUGUGAAAUCCCCGGGCUUAACCGAGGAACUGCGCCCAAAACUGCUGUGCUCGAGGGAGACAGAGGUGAGCGGAACUUAGGGUGGAGCGGUGAAAUGCGUUGAUAUCCUAAGGAACACCGGUGGCGAAAGCGGCUCACUGGGUCUCUUCUGACGCUGAGGCACGAAAGCUAGGGGAGCGAACGGG
rnacentral:rRNA from 1 species